AUUGGUGGUUCAGUGGUAGAAUUCUUGGUUUCCGGGUAGCAGACCAGGGUUCAAUUCCCUGCUAAU
rnacentral:tRNA from 1 species